rnacentral:rRNA from 1 species
UACGUAGGGGGCAAGCGUUGUCCGGAUUUAUUGGGCGUAAAGAGCGUGUAGGCGGCCUGAAAGGUCAGCUGUGAAAACUCGAGGCUCAACCUCGAGAUGUCGGUUGAAACCAUCUGGCUAGAGUCCGGAAGAGGAGAGUGGAAUUCCCGGUGUAGCGGUGAAAUGCGCAGAUAUCGGGAAGAACACCCGUGGCGAAGGCGGCUCUCUGGGACGGUACUGACGCGUGAGACGCGAAAGCGUGGGAGCGAACGAGG